rnacentral:rRNA from 1 species
ACGAACGCUGGCGGUGUGCUUCACACAUGCAAGUCGAACGAGGUAGCAGCAAUGCUAUCUAGUGGCGGACGGGUGGGUAACGCGUGGGAAUCUGCCUUUAGAUGGGGGAUAACGAGUCGAAAGAUUCGCUAAUACCGCAUAUGACGAGAGUUGAAAGGAGUAAUCCGUCUAAAGAUGAGCCCGCGUCCGAUUAGCUAGUUGGUAGAGUAAAAGCCUACCAAGGCGACGAUCGGUAGCUGGUCUGAGAGGAUGAUCAGCCACAAUGGGACUGAGACACGGCCCAUACUCCUACGGGAGGCAGCAGUGGGGAAUUUUACGCAAUGGGCGAAAGCCUGACGUAGCGACACCGCGUGAGCGAAGAAGCCCCUUGGGGUGUAAAGCUCUGUCAGCUGGAACGAAAAAAAUGACGGUACCAGCAGAGGAAGCAUCGCCUAACUACGU